GGUAGUGUGGGGUCUCCCCAUGUGAGAGUAGGGAACUGCCAGGC
rnacentral:rRNA from 1 species